UGGGGAAUAUUGGACAAUGGGGGCAACCCUGAUCCAGCAAUGCCGCGUGUGUGAAGAAGGUCUUCGGAUUGUAAAGCACUUUCGACGGGGACGAUGAUGACGGUACCCGUAGAAGAAGCCCCGGCUAACUUCGUGCCAGCAGCCACGGUAAUACGAAGGGGGCUAGCGUUGCUCGGAAUGACUGGGCGUAAAGGGCGUGUAGGCGGUUUACACAGUCAGAUGUGAAAUCCCCGGGCUUAACCUGGGAGCUGCAUUUGAUACGUGUAGACUAGAGUGUGAGAGAGGGUUUGUGGAAUUCCCAGUGUAGAGGUGAAAUUCGUAG
rnacentral:rRNA from 1 species